AGAGCGAACGCUGGCGGCAGGCUUAACACAUGCAAGUCGAGCGGGCGUAGCAAUACGUCAGCGGCAGACGGGUGAGUAACGCGUGGGAACAUACCUUUUGGUUCGGAACAACCCAGGGAAACUUGGGCUAAUACCGGAUAAGCCCUUACGGGGAAAGAUUUAUCGCCAAAAGAUUGGCCCGCGUCUGAUUAGCUAGUUGGUGAGGUAACGGCUCACCAAGGCGACGAUCAGUAGCUGGUCUGAGAGGAUGAUCAGCCACAUUGGGACUGAGACACGGCCCAAACUCCUACGGGAGGCAGCAGUGGGAAUAUUGGACAAUGGGCGCAAGCCUGAUCCAGCCAUGCCGCGUGAGUGAUGAAGGCCCUAGGGUUGUAAAGCUCUUUUGUGCGGGAAGAUAAUGACGGUACCGCAAGAAUAACGCCCCGGCUAACUUCGUGCCAGCAGCCGC
rnacentral:rRNA from 1 species